UACGUAGGGUGCGAGCGUUGUCCGGAAUUACUGGGCGUAAAGAGCUCGUAGGUGGUUUGUCGCGUUGUUCGUGAAAACCGGGGGCUUAACCUUCGGCGUGCGGGCGAUACGGGCAGACUGGAGUACUGCAGGGGAGACUGGAAUUCCUGGUGUAGCGGUGGAAUGCGCAGAUAUCAGGAGGAACACCGGUGGCGAAGGCGGCGUUCUGGACUGCAACUGACACUGAGGAACGAAAGCCAGGGGAGCAAACGGG
rnacentral:rRNA from 1 species